rnacentral:rRNA from 1 species
AGUGAACGCUGGCGGUAGGCCUAACACAUGCAAGUCGAACGGCAGCACAGUAAGAGCUUGCUCUUACGGGUGGCGAGUGGCGGACGGGUGAGGAAUACAUCGGAAUCUACUUUUUCGUGGGGGAUAACGUAGGGAAACUUACGCUAAUACCGCAUACGACCUACGGGUGAAAGCAGGGGAUCUUCGGACCUUGCGCGAUCGAAUGAGCCGAUGUCGGAUUAGCUAGUUGGCGGGGUAAAGGCCCACCAAGGCGACGAUCCGUAGCUGGUCUGAGAGGAUGAUCAGCCACACUGGAACUGAGACACGGUCCAGACUCCUACGGGAGGCAGCAGUGGGGAAUAUUGGACAAUGGGCGCAAGCCUGAUCCAGCCAUACCGCGUGGGUGAAGAAGGCCUUCGGGUUGUAAAGCCCUUUUGUUGGGAAAGAAAAGCAGCAGGUUAAUACCCCGCUGUUCUGACGGUACCCAAAGAAUAAGCACCGGCUAACUUCGU